UGUUAAUUUAACAUAUAUAGUUUAUGUUACUUGAAAAUUGCUAACCACUAAAUAUUUUGAUGAUGUAAUGAAAUAUAGUUUUGAGCAUCUGGUGGAGUAACUAUGUUUGGCUCACUCAGCUAUUAAGGAUGUCAAAUGCCCUUCGCCCUCCUUACUUUUUUACAGAAGACAAAAAAACAAUAUUCUUGCUUCUCUAGCCUCUCUUGAACCUAUACGUUUCUGUGAAACAAUUCUGUCUAAUUCAACGUAAAUGGUACUUUGGGGGACCUUUUGGGAAGUCUUUUGCUUUUCUUGAUAAAAAUAAAACAUAACAUUGGUCUCUAGAUCUCCUAGUUCAUUUCACUUUCAGUGCAGUUAUGAUAUUGGCUGCUAGGGAAAGAAAAAAAUCAUCACAGAUAUGCCACUUCUAACACUUUUGAGCAAGUGAAUGAACUCCCCUAAACACCUUAUACAUCUUGUUGUAUGAAAAAAAAAUUAAGUCAGUGAAAGUUAAGUAUUCUGUUUAAUGUAGCCAAAUCCAGUAUUAAUAAGUAAGCUUAGAGUAUCUAAAAUAUUGUUUGGUCUUAAGGUUACAGAAAUGGAAAAUACCGAUUUUGAUUCUGAACACUUCAGAGUGUCAUGAGGGUGACAAGUAAAGAAAUGCUUGGAGAGAGUUGCUCUUGUUGGGUGAAGAUACAGCACUAAGGGAUCAUUCAGAAGACUCAGCCAGGUAGGGAAACUGAGAUUCAGAGUUGGAGGGAUUUGCCCAAAAAGCCUGGAAUUUGGACUCACUACCUUCUAUCUGAAGUGAAGUUUGAAUUACCAAGGACAUUUUACUUAAUAGUAGAAAUAGAAAAUACCUGAUGGAUGUAUAUGUAUAUAUAUAUAUAUGUACAUAUAUAAUUGUGCUUAUGUAAGUAUAAAUGAACUUGUACAUUUGUACAUAUUAAAAGCAUAUGUAUAGAAAUGCUAGAAGAGAUAACUAGAUAGUGUCUUCUAUUUAUUUAAUUGCUAUUAAACUAUUAUUUUGAAUUUUCUAAAUUUUUAAGCUAUUGAUACUUAGUAGGAUAUUUUUCUCUUUGAUAUUCUUCCAGGAAUAAAUUUGAUAAUUUCAACUUUAUUUACUUUUAU
rnacentral:lncRNA from 1 species